CGCGGGAUGGAGCAGCCCGGUAGCUCGUCAGGCUCAUAACCUGAAGGUCGUAGGUUCAAAUCCUGCCCCCGUCUCAA
rnacentral:tRNA from 1 species